GGGAUGCUUUACACAUGCAAGUCGAACGGCAGCACGGACUUCGGUCUAGAGGUGCGAGUGGCGAACGGGUGAGUAAUGUAUCGGAACGUGCCUAGUGGUGGGGAUAACUACGCGAAAGCGUAGCUAAUACCGCUACUGCCCUUCGGGGGAAAGCGGGGGACCUUCGGGCCUUCGCACUAUUAGAGCGGCCGAUAUCGGAUUAGCUAGUUGGUGGGGUAACGGCUCACCAAGGUGACGACCAGCUAGUUUGAGAGGACGACCAGCCACACUGGGACUGACACGGCCCAGACUCCUACGGGAGGCAGCAGUGGGGAAUUUUGGACAAUGGGGGAAACCCUGAUCCAGCCAUCCUCCGCGUGUGUGAUGAAGGCCUUCGGGUUGUAAAGCACUUUGGCAGGGAAAGAAACGGCACGGAUAAUACCCGUGCAACUGACGGUACCUGCAGAAUAAGCACCGGCUAACUACGCGCCAGCAGCCGCGGUAAUACGUAGGGUGCAAGCGUUAAUCGGAAUUACUGGGCGUAAAGCGUGCGCAGGCGGUUCGGAAAAAGCAAAGAUGUGAAAUCCCAGAGCUGGUCCUGGGAAUCCGCAUUUAACUACCGAGCUAGAGUGGCUGAGGGAGGUGGAAUUCGCGUGUAGCAGUGAAAUGCGUAGAUAUGCGGAGGAACACCGAUGGCGAAGGCAGCCUCCUGGGAUAACAUCACUCAUUGACGCUUCAUGUGCACGAAAGCGUGGGGAGCAAAACAGGAUUAGAUACCCUGGUAGUCCACGCCCUAAACGAUGUCAACUAGCUGUUGGGGCCUUCGCCUUGGUAGCGCAGCUAACGCGUGAAGUUGACCGCCUGGGGAGUACGGUCGCAAGAUUAAAACUCAAAGACCACGGGGACCCGCACAAGCGGUGGAUGAUGUGAUUACAUCUGAUAUGGCAACGCGAAAAACUCCUACCUACCCUUGACAUGUCUGGAAUCCCGAAGAGAUUUGAGUGCCUGCAAGAGAACCGAACACAGGUGCUGCAUGGCUGUCGUCAGCUCGUGUCGUGAGAUGUUGGGUUAAGUCCCGCAACGAGCGCAACCCUUGUCAUUGUUGCCACGAAAGGGGCACUCUACGAGACUGCUGGUGACAACCGGAGGAAGGUGGGGAUGACGUCGUCCUCAUGGCCCUUGCGGGUAGGGCUCGCCAUCGUCAUACAAUGGUCGGGACAGAGGGUCGCCAAUCCAAGCAGGGGAGCCAAUCCCAGAAACCCGAUCGUAGUCCGGAUCGCAGUUCGCAACUCGACUGCGUGAAGUCGGAAUCUCGCUAGUAAUCGCGGAUCAGCAUGUCGCGGUGAAUACGUUCCCGGGUCUUGUACACACCGCCCGUCACACCAUGGAGUGGGUUUCACGAAGUAGUUAGCCUAACCGUAAGGAGGGCGAUUACCACGGUAGGAUUCAUGACUGGGGUGAAGUCGUAACAAGGUAA
rnacentral:rRNA from 1 species